rnacentral:piRNA from 1 species
UGUCUCAGUCAGUCGUGAAGAUUGUUUCUC